rnacentral:tRNA from 2 species
GCGGUUGAACCGGCGUUUAGUAAAUAGAACGGCGGACUUCUAAUCCGCGGGUCGCAGGUUCGAAUCCUGCCGGGCGCA